rnacentral:rRNA from 1 species
UACGUAGGGAGCAAGCGUUGUCCGGAAUCAUUGGGCGUAAAGCGCGCGUAGGUGGCCUCAUAAGUCCGCUGUGAAAGUCAAAGGCUCAACCUUUGAAAGCCGGUGGAUACUGUGGGGCUAGAGUACGGAAGAGGCGAGUGGAAUUCCUGGUGUAGCGGUGGAAUGCGCAGAUAUCAGGAGGAACACCAACGGCGAAGGCAGCGCGCUGGGACGGUACUGACGCUGAGACGCGAAAGCGUGGGGAGCGAACAGG